UACGAAGGGGGCUAGCGUUGCUCGGAAUCACUGGGCGUAAAGCGCACGUAGGCGGACUCUUAAGUCGGGGGUGAAAUCCUGGAGCUCAACUCCAGAACUGCCUUCGAUACUGAGGAUCUCGAGUCCGGGAGAGGUGAGUGGAACUGCGAGUGUAGAGGUGAAAUUCGUAGAUAUUCGCAAGAACACCAGUGGCGAAGGCGGCUCACUGGCCCGGUACUGACGCUGAGGUGCGAAAGCGUGGGGAGCAAACAGG
rnacentral:rRNA from 1 species